GCCAGAAUUGGAAGAACUGCCUGGGGCUGAAUGGGUCCCCCUUCCCUGCCGGGCCCUGACCCUUCCUAAGUGCUGCAAGCUGGAUGGAGGGUCAGCUGUCAGCCGUCAAUGUCAGAUGAGGAACAAGUCUGCAGGUUCUCAACGUACAGAAGCCAGAAAGGAAACUGAGGCCUGGAGAAAGGAAGUGACUUUUAGCCAAGUUGUGGCCAAAUCAUGAUGACGUCUGAGGUGUCCUGACUCCCAGGUGAACACUGUUUUGACUGGAUAAUUCUGCCCGAGUAUGGCAGGGGCUGUUUUCCGUGCGGUUCAGCACAAUACAGAAAUGUUCAUACAUCAUAGCAUCACUUCCAUAGACGUUUCUGGGGAAGGAAAAGACAUGAGGUGGGAGAGGAGUUACUCUGAACGGCAUUUUAUUCAUCAGUGCCAGCUACUGUGCUUUGCAGAAAAUGCUCGGCUUUCUUCUGGAG